rnacentral:rRNA from 1 species
UGCUUUUCUUGAUUAGUGGCGCACGGGUGAGUAAUGCAUAGAUAAUGUGCCCCUUAGUUCGGGAUAGCCACUGGAAACGGUGAUUAAUACCGGAUACUCCUUCUUGUUAUAAGACAAGUCGGGAAAGUUUUUCGCUAAGGGAUCAGUCUAUGCUCCAUCAGCUUGUUGGUGAGGUAAUGGCUCACCAAGGCUAUGACGGAUAUCUGGUUUGAGAGGAUGAUCAGACACACUGGAACUGAGACACGGUCCAGACUCCUACGGGAGGCAGCAGUGAGGAAUAUUGCACAAUGGAGGAAACUCUGAUGCAGCAACGCCGCGUGGAGGAUGACGCAUUUCGGUGUGUAAACUCCUUUUAUAGGGAAGAUAAUGACGGUACCUAAUGAAUAAGCACCGGCUAACUCCGUGCCAGCAGCCGCGGUAAUACGGAGGGUGCAAGCGUUACUCGGAAUCACUGGGCGUAAAGGGUGCGUAGGCUGGCUUUUAAGUCAGAUGUGAAAUCCAAUGGCUCAACCAUUGAACUGCAUUUGAAACUGAAAGCCUAGAGUUCAGAAGGGGCAGAUGGAAUUAGUGGUGUAGGGGUAAAAUCCGUAGAUAUCACUAGGAAUAUCAAAAG